UACGGAGGGGACUAGCGUUGUUCGGAAUUACUGGGCGUAAAGCGCACGUAGGCGGAUUUGUAAGUCAGGGGUGAAAUCCCGAGGCUCAACCUCGGAACUGCCUUUGAUACUGCAAAUCUCGAGUCCGGAAGAGGUGAGUGGAAUUCCUAGUGUAGAGGUGAAAUUCGUAGAUAUCUGGAGGAACACCGGUGGCGAAGGCGGCAUCCUGGACCAAUAUUGACGCUGAGGAGCGAAAGCUAGGGGAGCAAACGGG
rnacentral:rRNA from 1 species